UACGUAGGGGCCUAGCGUUGUCCGGAAUUAUUGGGCGUAAAGAGCUCGUAGGCGGUUCGGCAAGUCGGAUGUGAAAUCUCCACGCUUAACGUGGAGGGGCCAUUCGAAACUGCUGUGACUCGAGUCCGGUAGGGGAGACUGGAAUUCCUGGUGUAGCGGUGAAAUGCGCAGAUAUCAGGAGGAACACCGAUGGCGAAGGCAGGUCUCUGGGCCACUACUGACGCUGAGAAGCGAAAGCAUGGGGAGCGAACAGG
rnacentral:rRNA from 1 species